rnacentral:rRNA from 1 species
UACGAAGGGGGCUAGCGUUGUUCGGAAUUACUGGGCGUAAAGCGUAUGCAGGCGGAUCGUUAAGUCGGGGGUGAAAUCCUGGAGCUCAACUCCAGAACUGCCUUCGAUACUGGCGAUCUUGAGUCCGGGAGAGGUGAGUGGAACUCCGAGUGUAGAGGUGAAAUUCGUAGAUAUUCGGAAGAACACCGGUGGCGAAGGCGGCAUCCUGGACCAACACUGACGCUGAGGAGCGAAAGCCAGGGGAGCAAACGGG